GGACCCGUGGCGCAGUGGUUAGCGCUGCGACUUUCCGUUCUAACGGCUCUCUCUUAAGGUACGUCUUUCAACGGUUCGAUUCCGCCGCGGAUCCG